rnacentral:tRNA from 1 species
UUACUUUGGCAGAUUAGUGUAUUUGAUUUAAAAUCAUUUUAAGUAAGGUUUUUACAGGUAAUAN